UACGUAGGGGGCUAGCGUUAUUCGGAAUUAUUGGGCGUAAAGGGCGUGUAGGCGGCUCUGUGUGUCCCAUGUGAAAGCCCUCGGCUCAACCGGGGAACUGCAUGGGAAACUGCGGAGCUUGAGUCCGGGAGAGGUGAGUGGAAUUCCCAGUGUAGCGGUGAAAUGCGUAGAUAUUGGGAGGAACACCAGUGGCGAAGGCGGCUCACUGGACCGGUACUGACGCUGAGACGCGAAAGCCAGGGGAGCAAACGGG
rnacentral:rRNA from 1 species